rnacentral:lncRNA from 1 species
ACCCAGGCCCAAAAACCGACCCGACCGGCCUAGCCCAUGACCCACCUCCCAUUAAAACCUACAAACCUAGAUAUAUCAGAGAGGAUAUCAUCAGGCUCUCUAGGACCUAGAAACCUAGCAGCGACGCUCCUCUCCUCUCUGCAACAAAGAGCGAUACCUCCCCCCUCUAAAAGAAUACAGAGAAAUGACACACUGCUCUCCCUCCUUUCUUCUUCUUGUUCUUCGUUUCUCAAAAAUCAGAUACCAAAGAAGAUCCCAUUCUUUCUCAUACAAACAUUCUACAAUUGAAAAGAGAUCCAAAGAAUCCAAAAAGGGCUUCAAACAAAAAUCAAAAAAAGAAAGAAACAAAAAGGAAGUUGGAAUAUGAGGUUUUGGCUUCAAUUUUCUCUGAAAUGUGGUGCUUAUUUCUCUAGGUUGCUGAAGAAACUAUGUUGUCAUUGGUAAUUGUUGAAUUCGAACCUGAGCUCCAACUUGUAGAGCUCGUUUGGUUUGGUUGCUGUUUCUAAUUCGAACAAGAGCUAAAAUCUAUCUCCUCCCCUUUUGAUUUUUGUUUGAUCCAAAUUCCGUUAUUCUUCUACAGUAGGUAUGUUCAUGUCCCAAAUUCUGUUCGAAUCAAUGAUAUGAUGAUUUGAUCUUCUCUGUGUUAUAUUUGUACUGGAUUACUCGAUAUUAUCAUGUUGGCGGUUAAAAGGACUUGAGUUCUUAGUUUGUUCUGCAAUUUUGUUCAUGUGAAUUUAAGUUGUUAACUUUGAAGAAAAGCUAAAAUAGGCAGUGAAUUAGUCUCGUGGUAUUUUGUGGUGAAAACUAGCAGCAUAUUUUCAUUAGAUACAUAAGCUCUAUUUACUACGAAUUGAUUAAUGUUGUAGCUUUAGAUCCUGAAUGCUGUUGUAGCACGAUAUGAAUUCAUAGGUGAGGUAAAUUAAUGAUUGUUCAGUUAUGUGAUUAAAUGGGUUAUGGUUUACUAGUUUCAUCAUCCGAUUCCUUACUUGGUUUUUGCUAUUCCAUACAAUUCAUUUCAUUUUCGGCAGAAGAUUUUUUUUUAGUUUAAAGCCAAUGAUCUGUUUUUAAAUUGAAGCAAAUUUUGUAGUUUUAAUUCAUGAAUUCUUAGAUAAUCUAAAAAAAAAGAGUGUUAGUCUUUAGCCAAGACAUAACACAAUCAAUCUUAUAAACAAAUUUAUGAUCCAAUCUAUACUCCCUCACACUCCUCCCCAUAGAUCGAUAUUUUCACACAUAACCUCAAGCUUAGGAAAAUUAUGAACAUCCAUAGUUUGCUUUAAUUUGGUAUAAUCCUUUGAAAUUAGAAUUGAGGUGUGCCAUUUAGUUGAAUUUUCUAUGGCCCUCGCAAAUUUGAAAGUGCGUAGUUGCUUUAGGCGCGUAACUUAAAUUACUUUCCUAAACUCGGCUGUGCAUUUCAUGUGACUCAAAUCCAAAUCUCAACAACGUUAAAUAAAAUGUGUCGUGGACCGCGGGUGCAUUUCAUGUGGCAUGGUUUAAGGACGUGUUUUCGAUAAUGUUGAAUUUUCCUAAAAAAUUAUUUAAAAGCGGCUAAUAAGUUAAAAAUGUACCAUAGGCUAAAACAUGUAUUAAAAUUAGAUAAUAGGCCAAUUGUAAUAGUUUAAGCGACCGUGCUAGAACCACGAAAUCCGGGGGUGCCUAACACCUUCCCUCGGGUUAAUAGAAUUCCUUAUUCAGAAUUUCUGGUUCGCAGACUUCAAAAGGAAAGUCAAAUCUUCCUCGAUUUGGGAUUUAAAAUAAACUGGUGACUUGGAACACCAAAUAAACUAUCCCAAGUGGCGACUCUGAAUUGAAUAAUUAAUCCUAUUUUGAUUAAUGUCACUUAAAGUGGAAAAACUCCCUUAUAUCCACCUUCGGGUGGUUAAAAAAGAGGUGUGACAAGUAAUAGCAUUUACCUUGCUUUCCUAGGAACUAGACAGGAUACUGAGGAUUUUCUUCACUAGUUUGUUCCUCCGAAUGGUUUCACCAAGUAAGUGUAACUCAUUUAUGAUGGAAGUGAAUCUUGUGUGCAUAUCUUGAAUGGAUUCAUCGUCCCUCAUCCCAAAGAGUUCAUACUCGGUAGUAAGCAUAUCGAUCUUAGAUUAUUUUUCUUGGGUGGUUCCCUUAUGAGCUAUUUGUAAAGCUUCCUAUAUCUCCUUAGAGUGUCACAAUAGAGAUUUUAUUGUAUUCAUCAGGUGCUAUUCCACAUAACAAAAUCUUCUUGGCACAAAAAUUCUUCUCCACAGCUUUCCUAUCAGCGUCGGUAUAUUCUUUUCUGGUUUUUGGUAUUGAGAAGGAAGUUCAUCAAGUACAUUUUUUGGGACGUAAGGGCCAUCACAUAUGACAUCCCAUAGUUCAGAAUCCUCAACCAUGAUAAAAUUAUGUAUUCUUGUCUUCCACCACCCAUAGUAUUGUCCAUUGAACCUGGGUGGUCUGCAUGUAGAUUGACCUUCUUCAAAAUUUGGUGGAGCAGCCAUACGAAUCCUUCCUAGGUAUUAGCCUGAUAGGAGGAACCUUCUCUGAUAAACUAAUGACAUAGUAAGUAAAUGAGACAUAAGAUUUUUACGUGGAAAUAUCCCACUCAAGGGAACAAAAACCACAACCUACACUUGUAGACUUUCAACUUCACUAACUUAUAAACACUCAAUUACAAGCCACUUUUUAAUGACUCUAUUACAAAGACUUCACUCACUCCAACUUGUGAUACACUAAUCACAAGCCACUUUGUCACUCACUAGUUACAAAGUCUUCAAACACUCUAACUUGUAAUACACUAAUCCCAAGCCACUUUGUCAUUCACUAGUUACAAAGGAUUUAACUUAAGACUAACUCUAGUCACAACACAAACUCAAAAAUUUUAUAGUUUUAAAGAGGGGUUCCUAAGUACCGCUUCUAACUAAGCAACUUUGGAAUUACAGUAAGAACAAUCACAAAGUUACAACUCAACUAUGGACAACAGAAUACUCGAUUUAGGAAUUAGUCCGUAGUAGCAUUUUACUUUGCUUUUCAAGAUCUUGAGAAUUGAGUUUUCUACUUUCAGAAGUCUUGAAGUGAAAAUUCAAGUGUUCAAGUGAUGUCUUGAUAUAAUCUUCUUGUUAAUACACUUUUAUGACAUCACUUGAAUGAUGUAUGCACUUUAGUUGGUCAAGGACAAAUCACCAUUGGAAAUAAUGCAGUGUAGGCAGUAACAGGACAUGCAGUCACGUCGCUUCCAACUGUAUCCAACUGACCUCGAACUGCUAUGAUUCAACCGCAAGGAUAUCAGGUCCUAGUCUGGUUCUCUAUCUCCUGAAACUAUAACAUUUCACAUUUAGCUGGACUCCGAUGAUUUGUACUGUAGCCUAAGUGUGUCAGGUUUCCUAUCUCGUUCUUGACAGCAAGUUUGUUAGAUUAUCAAAGUAUAAGGUAAAGACAUUGAAAACCCAUCAAUCUUGAUGGACCUGUUCCAUCUCAUCCACAUCAACAGCCUCAACAGGCUCUGCAACCUUAGAUUUACCUUUGUCCAUUCUCUUUUUAUUGCUUUCUGCCAUAGCUUUUUGUAACUCCUCCUCAUUCUGCUUUAACUCACUCCUUGUAGACCUUUCUUUUGGUAGAGGAAUCUCAGCAGUUGUUGGAGAAGUAGCCUUCCUUUUCUUGGUAGUUUUUGUAGUUCUGGGGGCUUUUGGUGUUGGGGUUCUCCUUUUCUUUGAAUUAUAUCUUGCACCCUCUUUCUUUAAAAGGUCUGCCAGGGUCUCCUCAAUAGAUGAACCAGGUUUAUCUGCCUAUGAACUAAGUUUGACCAACCCUUCAGUAGCCUCCCCUAAACCACUUCCCCCUGUUUUCUUGCUACUUUCUUCCAUAUUUUCAUGUUCAACCCCACAUAUAGCCAGUCUAACCGUUUUAGAAGUUGGUGAGGAAUCAACCACUUUUUUUCCCUUUUCCCCUCACAUCAUUACUCACAUAUUCACUCUCCUUUUCUUUUUCACUUUUAUUUUUACCUCCUAUCCUUCUUGACUCAGGCAUUUCCACACGUUCCUAACAGACCCAACCAGAACAAACCUAUUGUCCAAAUUUUCAACUAGAACAGAACAUACCUCAGAAGGGGGAUUUUGAGCAUUUUCAGAAUCAGAAGACCGAGUUCCUUCCCCCUCACUCACAGAUUUGAAGGAGUCAACUGAGUUUUUAGAAUCUUGGGCUUGGCUAGCCUUUAAUUUUGCAUUCAAUUUCUUUGAAAGCGCAGCUGUAGCUACAGUUUUGCGAGCAAGGAUCUUCACUCGCCUUCUCCUAGGUUGGGGGGUUGUGCUGGGUUGAGGAGGGGUGAAGGAAUCAGAGGGGGUAGGUUGUGGAGGAGUGCCUGGGUUAUCUUUAGGGUUGGUCAUUUUUGCUAAUUCAAUGAGAAAGGGGAUGGGUGUGGAGAAAUUUUGGAAGCAAAGAGAAGAGAAGAGAGAAAAUGUUCGACGGUCUUGGAAAUUUUAGAGGAGUGGCAGUGGUGAUGAUGAUGAAUUUAAAGGAUAAGGUGUAUUUAAUACACAACGACAGCUUUUAGUAGUCAAAUAGGAGUCUAAUCACCCUAAAAUUUCAGUUUGAAUAGACGUUUAGGCUUCCCUAGAAUCUAAGCGUUCUAAUACGGUGAGGAUUCUAGUAGGGGACGGAACUGGUUCAAAUGCAAAAGGAUAGUUUUUUUUGACAUUUUUGAACAUAGGUAGGACUCUGAUCAUGAAUUAAAUAUUAAUAUUUCUAAUUGUGCAGAGUGUAGAAAACAUACCUCGUUAUUCAAAUGAACCACUACUAAUGAACCAUGUUCUUCACUAAGAAUCCUCUUGAUCUUGCCUCAAUUUACCAAAAUAAUGAAAAUUUUGUUAGAGAUCAGUGAGUCAUAUCAACACAUAUCACAUGAGUAUACUAUUUACAGUAUGAGACUGAGCAAUGAUUAAUCUAGAUAUUUACACAAGUUCCGGAUUUUCUAACCAAAAAUAAUUUUUUAAAUUUUUUUGUGCAUUCUGAACUGGUCCCAUUAGGUGAUCUUAAUCAUCCCUAAUUCUAACUUGUUCCUUUCAAAGUGCUCCCUACUCAAUGCUUUUCUGAAAAUGUCAGCAAUCUGUUUAUCAGUAGCACAAAAUUCUGUAGUAAUCGAUCAUUUCUCAUAGUUGUCCCUAAAAAAUGGUGUCUAACAUCUAUGUGCUUAGUUCUCUUAUGAUGAACCGAGUUCUUAGUCAUACUAAUAGCACUAGUGUCAUCACAGAAAAUAGGGAUGAAACCAAUUUCAAUACCAAAAUCCAUCAACUGCUGUUUGAUCCACAGCAAUUGAGCCGAACACGAAGCACCAACAACAUACAACAUACUCAGCUUCAGUAGUGGAUAAGGCCACUGAAUUUUGCUUUUUAGUAGCCCAUGAUACAAGACAUGAACCAAGGAAGUGUGCCAUACCUGAGGUGCUCUUCCUAUCCACAAGGAAACCUACAUAGUCAGCAUCAGCAUAUCCCACUAGGUUAAAGUUACUACCUUUUGGAUACCAAAGACAAAGGUCAAUAGUGCCUUUCAAGUAUCUCAAUAUUGUCUUGACAACAGUCAAGUGGGAUUUCUUUAGAUUUGCUUGAAAUCGAGCACAAAGCCCUACACUAAAAAUAAUGUCAGGUCUGCUAGCAGUAAGAUACAAAAGUGAACCAAUCAUACCCUAUACAACUUCUGAUCAAUAGAUGAACCAGGUUCAUCUAUGUCCAAUUUUGUGGCUAUUGCAAUAGGAGUGUCUAUUUCCUUUGAUUCCUCCAUUUUAAACUUCUUAAUCAACUCUUUUGCAUAUUUCUGCUGAUGAAUCAUGGUUCCAUUUGAGUUUUGUUUAAUUUGUAAGCCUAAGAAGAAAUUAAGCUCACCCAUCAUACUCAUUUCAAAUUCACUCCCCAUAAGUUUAGCAAAUUCCUUACUGUUAUAAAAUAUAACCCAAAAUAACAAUAUAGAACAAGCAANNNNNNNNNNNNNNNNNNNNNNNNNNNNNNNNNNNNNNNNNNNNNNNNNNNNNNNNNNNNNNNNNNNNNNNNNNNNNNNNNNNNNNNNNNNNNNNNNNNNNNNNNNNNNNNNNNNNNNNNNNNNNNNNNNNNNNNNNNNNNNNNNNNNNNNNNNNNNNNNNNNNNNNNNNNNNNNNNNNNNNNNNNNNNNNNNNNNNNNNNNNNNNNNNNNNNNNNNNNNNNNNNNNNNNNNNNNNNNNNNNNNNNNNNNNNNNNNNNNNNNNNNNNNNNNNNNNNNNNNNNNNNNNNNNNNNNNNNNNNNNNNNNNNNNNNNNNNNNNNNNNNNNNNNNNNNNNNNNNNNNNNNNNNNNNNNNNNNNNNNNNNNNNNNNNNNNNNNNNNNNNNNNNNNNNNNNNNNNNNNNNNNNNNNNNNNNNNNNNNNNNNNNNNNNNNNNNNNNNNNNNNNNNNNNNNNNNNNNNNNNNNNNNNNNNNNNNNNNNNNNNNNNNNNNNNNNNNNNNNNNNNNNNNNNNNNAUUUGUACUAUAAGAAUAUCCUUACCUUUUCCCCUCAAUAAUAGAGUGCUAUCAAUUUUACCUCUCUUGUAGCCAUGUUCAAGCAGGAAUUUGGAUAGUCGUUCAUACCAUGCUCUAGGAGCCUGCUUGAGUCCAUAAAGAGCCUUGUCUAGUUUGUAUACAUGAUCCGGACACUCCUUGCUUUCAAACCCCAUAGGUUAUUUGACAAACACUUCUUCCUUUAAGUAGCCAUUUCGGAAAGCACUCUUAACAUCCAUCUGGUGAAGAGUAAAUUCCAUGUGUGCUGCAAAGGCUAUGAGGAGUCUUAUUGCUUCCAAUCUUGCGACUAGAGCAAAGGUCUUAUCAUAGUUCAUGCCUUCCUCCUGGCUAUAACCUUGAACCACCAACCUUGCCUUGUUCCUUGUAACAGUUCAAUCUUCAUAAAGUUUGUUUCUAAAGACCCAUUUAGUGCCAAUUACUGAUCUGUCCUUGCGUCUUAGAACCAGAUGCCAAACUUGACUUCUUUCAAACUGAUUGAGUUCAUCUUGCAUUGCAUUUACCCAGUAUGCAUCAUGCAAAGCCUCAACAACAUUUUUAAUUCCAAUAAGAGAUAAGAAAGCAUUAAAAGUACACAAAUUCUUUAAUUGAGAUCUAGUUUUAAUUCCAAAGGUUGGAUCAGUAAUUAUGUUCUCAAUUGAAUGAGAACUUUGAUACUUGUAAGGUUUCUGUACGCGGUAAAAUCAGAAGACUUGAUUUUUGCUAUUAAGACAUUUUAGAAGCCUUCCCCGAGACCCCGAGGAAGGAAGGCCACGAUCGAGUUCCCGGCCUCAGGGCUCGUCGAGGUCCGAAUCAAAGAAAGUAGGGCCCGAGGUCAGGAUAAGAAAGGGAAUCUCCUAAGCACAUGGCUACACCUGACAGGUCUGGCCCAUCUAAGAGCCUACUGAUAGGACUUGUAUCGGGCCGUCCCAUCUUUGUACCCUUGCAAUUAAUAUAUAUUUACUUUACUAAGUCCCCUCGCCUAUAUAAGGGGGACUCACCCUACCUUGUAAAGGACUGACGUUGCUCCACUUCUCCACAAUGCAAUAAUAUCUCUCUCUCUCUCUUUAUUCUAAAUUAUCAGUCUUCAUCGACCCCGAGGUCGCCUUAGCAUUUUGUUGUUUCUUCAUUUGUUCUUCUUCAUUUAGAUCAAGAUUGAUAGUAUAAAGCCUUACUUACUUAUAUCUUUAUCUAUUAUCCCCUUCUCGACUACCCUCGAUAGGCUCGAGAUAGGCUCGAGGCCUGGCUCUGAGGUGCCUACUGGCUUGCUUUAUGCCCGGGAACGUCCCUUUACUGGUUCGAUUAUUGCUUCGGCUAACUCGAUCUUUACUGUCUUGUUUCACGUUUUAGCACCAAUCACCCUAACAAACUAGUUCGGGAAUAGAUCACGUAUUUUUAGAAUCCCAUUUAUAAAUUUAGUUGUUGUUACCAUUUUCACGGUAAACAGUUUCACAACCAACUGGUUUCUGUUUGAUAAUUCUCCCAUGUUCUGUUGCUGAGGAACAGGCUCAUGGACAACGGGGUUACAAAGUCUCGCGCCUAGAUCAGUUCGAGCGGACGCGGACCCGUACGUCGCACAACGGGGUUACAAAGUCUCGUGCAUCGAUAGUGGCAGACAACAUGCUAACCAACAGGAAGCCCAAAAAAUCCCAGUUCCGGUAUAACGGGAAGUUAAUCUUCGUAUUAUUUUUGAAAUGUUGUAGGAAUAGCAUUUGGAUAUCUCUCGGCUACAAAGCCGCUCGGAGACUCUCGGCACGACAGGACCCAAAAUAUCUCCUCACUUCGAGCCAGUACCCGAGGUAUCGGGCAGCGACGAACCAACAACCAAUCCUAUGGUAGUAAGGAUGCUAGAAGACAUUAUCGUAAAGAUCGACUCACGCUCGUAGAGACUCCUAUAACAACCGUCUCCCGGAGAUACGAUCCCGGGACUCAUUUCACGGAAUUUGGAAACAACGAAAUCCCCCAGGACUGACAGGACACCAAGUCCUCACAGGUGCACCACCACUCAAGCACGCCCAUCCAGGAACGGUGACAUCCAAAAUGGAGAACUUGGGUCCGUCCCGAUAAGGAGAUUUGAAGAAAUUCCCGUGGAAGAAACCAUGACGCAGCAUCAUUGUUCGACAUUUAGUAUUGGGGACCCGCUCACCGUACUAGCGUGAUCCGUGGAAGCACGCGCCAAUGCCAUCAAAAUUAUGCCAAGAGGGCACAAUGCACUGAAGGCAGGGAGAAGAAAAAGAAAUAAAAUCUCACAGGAAACUGCACCCCGCUCUCUGACAAGACAAACAAGAUCGCUCCCAGUACCGAAUAGUGGGGUGGCACAGACCUUCGCCGAAAACCCAAACAAAGCAUACCUGGCGGCUCCGGAGCAAUUCAAGCGAAGCUUGGUCGAAUAUCUGCUUGAGGCUUGGUCAGAUACCAGCAGCCAACACCAGACCCAGGUCGGAGCAAUGGAUGACCCUUGAAAAACCUCCUCGGGAUUGGCAUAUCCGGGAAGAUUCCCAACAAAAAAGGCUGACACUGAAUGAAUGGAGCCAUCACCCACAUGACACGAAUGGAAGAAACGAUUCGAGGCACAACGCAUCUCAAAACAACGAGGCAGUAGGCCGAGGACAACUCCUUCGAGGAAUCUCCAGUGGUACUAGAUUCAACAAGACGCAACCAGCAGGGAAACCUCGCCCAAUAGAGCUUAACUUCAACGCUGCAGUUCCAAGCAUAGUGGUCACCAUAUGCGAAGCCGAGAACUAAAGGUGGCUCGGACCGAUUCAACCAAAACCCCUUUAGGGAAACCAUGGCCCGCCACGGGAAUUGCGAGAUGCUCGGAGUUACAGACCCAAAAGAGCAGCAACUACACUAUUCAACAAAGGUAACCACAAAGUAUAGCCAAGCGAGCAAACCAGGAUCCAGCUCCACGGACAAGAGGAAAUCAGAUAAAACAGAGCCGGCAAGCUGCGGCAUAUCGUCACACCUAUUAAAGGAUGGCGACAUCCUGCGAAAAUCCGUAGAACGUGGAAUGCAAGUGACCGUCACCAGAAAGGGAUGGUCCCGGGAAAUACUCCCCAAGGACACCCUCUUGCUCGAAUAAAAGGACGCUGAGAUUCCACCUCAGUACCACAUUAACGUAUUGGUAAUGCCUUCUUUCAUUUGACUCAUUUCAAAUAAAACAUACUUUAAUGAGUACAGGUGUAUCGACCAAAAUUAUACCGACAAUGUCGGGCCAAAGCCAAUAGGACGAUCCGGCCCAGCGUCGCUCUCGAGCUGGACCGCUGAUGUGUUCCCAAUGGCAAUUGCCACAACGACCAAAUCGCUCCCCUUGCACGGCCAGCCCGAGCUCAGGCUAAUACGUCGAGUGACAGAGGGCACAGAUACUUUGUACAGACAACGGCGAGUACAUCGCCCUGGACGCAAUUCCGACCCUACUCCUCCAAAGGUGUAAAACCCCAUGAUAGGCGCUGGGCUAAAUCAUUUAGCUGCGAGCGAUAGGAGGAGAUCCCUCGCCCGGCAUUGCCCUCAAAUGAGGCCAAAGGGUAAGGAUAACCAUGUCCUCCGCCAGGCCUGGCCAGACGAGGAGGAUGACUACUGCGAGACUUACUCCCCGAAACACAACUUCCCUUUAUCAUUUCCUUUCCUUUCUUGUUGCUAAUCUGUACGCAGGCAGCAAGCUGAGGCAUUCAGUAGUUCUGGAUCCCGCUCGAGGAUCCAUGGCCACCAUAGGGCCUGUCGGGCGUUCUUUCCUCGACCGGGUUUCUAACAGGAAAAAGGUUCAGCCGACAAGAUUAUUAGCAGUACUAUAUAUCCCCGGGGAAGGGACCCGUAAAGUUCAUGAUCCUCUUGCUCUCCUAAAAUUUUCCAAUAUGAAAUCAUAUAAGCGCAUAAGAUAAUUAGGGGAAUCACACCCAUGUGGACCAGACUCACGGUAACAGGACAACAUGUAUUUGCAACUUAUAUUUUCGCCAAGCAAUAAAGAAUAUAUUUAUGCAUUCGACGCGUCGAAGAAAAAUAUUUUGGCUUAUCCUCAGCAAAAAACCUCUCCAUCAAAUGCAUUCCGAAAUAGACGUAAACAAUUCAACAGCCCCACGACCCUAGGGUCAGGGCUCCGGGCUCACAAAGCCCUCGCGAUAUGGCUCCAAGUCUACAAAAGGCGGUAUUCAAGCCUAAGCUAAUCCGAUAUACUCGGAGACUCAACAUGAGCAAUUCGACAACUUGCACAACCCCAGGGUCGGAACUCCGAGCUCGCCAAGCCCUGGGAAAACAACUCCGAGUUCACGAGAAGCUGUCUUCAAGUAAACUCAAUGACUUGGAGGUUGUCGCCAAUCGCCAUGCACUGGAAAACCCGAAAUUGUCAGACCCUAGUGGGCAGACUCGGCAAAAGCAAAUCUAUUCUCCAUAUAUUGUAAGACCUCAACAGGCAUUGAAAAAUGUAAGACCUCAACAAGCAUGAAAAAAUCCCGUAGUUUAGGCUAUACGUCACAUUUGUAAGAAUCCCUAAAGGGCAUACCCUCAGCGUAGACACCUAAAACUACCUCUAGGGAUCAAAAAUGGCCCCGGCCAAACGCACACGACUCCGGUCAAAAUGACUGAUAUAGCCUAAAAAUGCAACUCAGGGACGCCCGACUAUUGCUAAAAAAUCCUCGAAUCUACUUCAGAAAGAACCAGUUAAACACAGGCUUCCCUCAAUAGGCAAAAAACGAGUCCCGACCACGUCGGCUCCAAAAUUGCAAAAGCAUCGAUCUACUCGACCUAUGAGCUAUGAACCUUCCGAGGUGCUCAAAACAUCGCCGACUACGACUUGAAAUCGAGGUUCUUUUAGAAACAACGAUGGGUCAGGCAAAAUAAUCAAUAAGACCUUAACGAGAGGAAACAAAGCCUACAAAAAGCCUCUGGGCCUCACAUCAAAUAGCAUAAGUGCCAUUAUCGUCCACUAAGCAAAGCCUCUGGGCCUCACAUCAAAAGGUAUCUACGACUGUACAACGUAAGAGCUAUUGACGCCAGCUUGAAAAUUGACAACUUGAGGAUUAAAGUGAGCUCGAGUCGUAACCCGAUUCGGAGACCGGAUCCAAGAUAGUUAACCUAAGCAAAGCCUCCGGACCUCAUAUCAAAGGUCUCUAUGACCAAACAACGUAAGUGCCAUUGUUACCGGCUAAGCAUGCCUCCGGGCCUCAUACUAAAAGGUCCCAAUGACCAAGCAGCAGAAAGGGUCAAGAACUUAGAUGAGAUUUAAGGGUCGAUUACAGCUCGAGUUGCAACACGACUUGGAGACUGGACCCAAAAAUCAUAAUACUCCGUAGAGCAUGACAUUAAUGCCGAUUUCUCCAACCGGAAUCUCCGGGAAGAUCAAAGGUUCAAUUACAACUCAAAUCGCAACGCAACUCGGAGACUGGACCCGAAAAAUCGCCAAACGCCCGAGGGCAAAGAAUAAAAAUCAUUAUCGCCACCCCAAACAAGGCUCGAGGGUAAGAUAAGCUUGAGUCAGGAUCCUGACUCGGAGACUGAACCCGAGGGCAAUUCAAUCACAAUGCGCCUAAAAACACGGCCCAACGACGUUAUCAACGGCCGAGACAAGUCUCCAGGCCGUACGCCCGCAAAAUUACCUCAGUCCAGGAGCACAAAAGGUCAUCACCCUCCGCCUAUGCAGGCGGGAAAAGGAUGGAAGGCCAAUCGAAGCUCGAGCCGUAACGCGACUCGGGGACUAGUUCCAAAAGCCGGUCUACACGGUCGAAAGCAACGAUAGAAAAAAGGUACAAAGGGGAUAAUACUUUAAAAUUUCCUCUUAUGUUACAUGCAAGAAAACAUUCUCCAUCUACAGGCACGCCCUGCGUGCGCCGAAAACCAGGUUACAAAAUGAUAGGACCUUUACGAUGCGCCAAAAGGCUACAACCCAUCAAGAUCGCCCUCUGCAACAUCCACGAGAAGUGACCGAAUGUCUCCCUAGUCCGCGCUUGCUUGAACCAAUUACUCUGAGAAAAUAAAGCCUCUCUCUCCAACUUCCUCGAGCAUUUCUCUCCGGGAUCGGCAGCGAACAUAUUCCUCGAUCCUAUUCUCACGAUCAAGGGCUUGCCUCAACUCAAAUUGAGCGUCAGCAGCCUCCUUUAUGCAAAUCGCCAUCUUGCAAUCUGUCCAAGUUCGGCUUAACGCCACUUUUGCCAGAGCAUCAAUUAUUUCGGCCCUGAUCUUCGAGAGGUCGGACUCUAUUCUCUCAAUCAUAUCCACCUGAACAUUGGCAUUACUACGGGACAAGUUAAGCUGGGCCUCGAAGGCAGGGAUCUUGGCUGAGGCACUCAUCUCCUCCAAGACAUGAGCCCGCACUUGGCCUCUUAGUUCCUCGCAAGCUACACUGGCACGGUUCACGUCACCUUUAAAGUACUCCAAGGCCUCUAUCUUUUUCUGCAACUAAUACGGCAAGAAGAAGUUAGUCUUAAAAUUAGAAAGAAGCAAAGAGCACACUACAGAAAGUUACCUGCUCCAUCAGAUAGCUCUCAUAGUUCGAGCUCCGAUACGCCUCAUAUUGCCAAUACAACAGCUCAGAUUCCUUCUCCUUGCAAAGGAGCCUAAGGGAUUCUCCCUCAUCCCGAAUCCUCUGGAACUUGGCCUUUUGAUGAGACAACUCAGACUUAAGCCUAUCACAAGCCUGCGCAGGAAAGAUUCAAUAAGAGGAGGAAGAUGCGGGAUAUGAAAGAAAUAUGCACUAACUCACCGCAACGUGAAGAUGGAAGAUUUCCCUCCAGAUCAGAACAUGCUCCUGAUAGUACUGCUCUUGCAAUCCUGGAAGAACCGGACCAGCGGAUAACAUGCUCACUCGAAGGAGUCACUUGUCGAGAAACAAGCACCCCGGGGGCAGCCGACUCGGGCGAUGCCCCGUCUUCAGAAGCACGCACCCGGCUAGCACCACUAAAAACUCCUUCGCAUGAUGGGUCCCAGACUCUCUUACUGCUACCGUCUCUCAGCUCAGAGACCGAUAACUCCAUCUCCUCUCCGAGAAAGUGCUACCUCGCCUUGGGAAACCGCCCGAUAUUUACAAAAAACGGUGAAUCCAGCAUAAAGGAGAUGGGAAAAUGCCAUCCCGAGUACGUAUCAGUGGGAGAAAAGCAACAUAUGCACGUACCUUGAUGGUACACUCCCCACCUGAUGUGUCGCUAGACGAAUGGGUCACCAGCCGCUGAACCUAGCCGGGCAAAUCAUGAACUUGGACCGACGUCCAUAAAGUUGCUGCAACAAAGGAAGUAACAUUAAUUACUUGGCCGAUUUUCGCCAUAAACAAAAUCUGAAGGAACAACAAAAUGCCUCACUUACGCGCGUGAUUCCACCCUUCGGGGAAAGGCAAAACCUCCACAGGAAUAAUAUCGGUCGUCCUAACUCAGACAAACCAACUAGCUCACUCUCGAUCUCCGCCUUCUUCAUUAUCAACAACAAAGGGCAUGGUGUGAACGACCCCUCAAGGUUAACAAUCCUCGAUGGUGGAAGGGUCGAUAUAGCCUGAUGAGAUGAUCGAGUGUGAAAUGAAGUCCAGCUUUCUCCGUGAAGAAUCUCAGCAUCAACACCAUCCGCCAAAAUGGUGGAUGAACCUGCGCCAGGGUGACCUGAUACUUCAAGCAAAAAUCGAGCACGACCUUAUCAAGAGGACCAAUGGCAAAGGGAUAUAGGUACGCACUCAAAAACCCAUUAGCAGAGUCCGCGAUACCUUCACUUAGGGAAAGCACCCGUAGUGUCAUCCCCUCGCUCCACCCGCAAUAUCACCUUACCGUCUCUAGGUGUUCCUCUUUUACCAAGGACACUGACUCUAGAGCAAAAUCCUUCGACUCUCCAGCACUGGGAACAACAUUCUCCGCUCUUUGCCCCGGUUCCGAAGUAGUCGCCAUGACUAAAGCAGAACUAACAAAAUGAAGUAAAAAAGCACAGACGCUUUUCGCACUUUAAAAGAUAGGGAGCCCUAUGCUGAAAUGGAAGAACAACUGCCCAAAAAUAGUGAAGUCUCACAAAAAGGUCGAAGCCACCCUUAUUAUAUACAAAAGGCAACGGCAAAGUCACCUGCCAGAUGUAAGCUCCAGGAAACCAAUGGCCUCGAUACGAAUUGACGAGUCAAUACAGAACCCAGGAAACAUCCUCCAACAGAUGACUAAGCUCGAGGAUCCACGCGAAUUAUCUCCAUGCUCCAGACAACAUUUCAAAUAUGUAAUCCCCGUCCUCUAAGAAGCAGGGUCACGAUAAGCUCCAUAGCGCCGAUGACAGACAAGAGGCACGCGUUCGGGAUCGCGUUUCCCACUCCGGAGAGGCAAACCCCAGGUGCUCCUAUCUCCAAAGCUCUACGAGGCCCCAAAGAAGUAUCCCGCACAUAGGCAAACUCCUCCAACGGAAGCCAACCUUACACUCUUUGAAAGAGUUAUCCACAUCAAAAUCAACAGGGCCCACCGAGGCACCCAAGGAUUACCUUUAUCUGGGGUAUCGUUCUCGAAGGCCCCGGAAUUUGAUACAAGAUCCCCAAACAAUCCUGCAGGCCCCGACAACUCAAGCUUAUCCGAUCGGUCCUCCAUCAGUCCAAAGUACGACAAAACAAAAAGCGAGGAAGAGCUUUGCCGAUCAGCUGGAGACCAGAACGAGCUACCAUGACGAGCUACGACGGCCCAUAAAAAAAAGAAGGCAUUCAAAAUUCCCGUAGGGCGUAAAAGUGAUAAGUUAGGAUUUUAACAUGUUUUAUGCCCCUACUUGCCUAUGCUUUGAUCAUAUAUUGUUACAAAAUAGUCCUAAAAUGCUCACAAGUUGUGUUUGAUUGCCGGUUUGAUCGACAACAUGACGAGAUGUCAAAGAUUGGCUCAAAAAAGGAGUGAAACCUGCUCAAGUAUCAAAAACCAAGAAAUCUAAGGAAAGAAGGCCCAGUGCGGACCGCGCAAAGUUGAAUGCGGCCGCACUAGGUGGUUCAAAGAGUUGGUAAAUCAUGCCAGAAGAAGCGCGACCGCGGUAAACAUCUCACGGUCCGCGGUGAAGGCUCCGCGGCCGCACUACUUGUUUGUGUGGUUCGCGAUCAUGAGAUUCAGAGAGAUGAAAGUUUUUAAAGCCAAUGGCAUGCGGUCCGCGGUCGUGAUUUUGCGGAUUGUGCCAUCUCUCUCUGCGACCAUGGUUCAUUCGACGCGUGACGUGCCAUCUCCAUCCGUGGUCAUGGUCCAUUCUACGCGGGUCGCGAAGUCCAAGUUCAAAGAAGCAAAUGUCAAAGUCAAAGAGCCCAAUGCGGCCGCGGUUCAUUUAGUCCGACCCGCACUUACCCUGCAGGGGCAUUUUUGUCCAGUUUUUCCAACCUAGUAUAAAUAGAACAUUGUACCAUUUUUUAGGUAAUUAGAUAUAUCAGACAAGGGCUGCGCUCGUGAGAACAAAUUUUGUAGCCAUUUUUGGCACUUUUGCUUUACAUUUACAAUAGAUUCUUGUAGUUUAAUUUUAGCAAUUAAUUAAUAUGCUUAGUUCUUCAUCUAUUUCUUUAUUUUCUUCUUCAAGCAUGAGUAGCUAAACCUAUCAGCUAGGGUUGUGGCUCAACCCUAGUGUGGGUAAUUGAUGGGUAUUGCCAUCUAAUGUUAAAUUGACUAUGGGUGUUUGCUAUUUGGGUUGAUUUUAUGUUUUAAUCUAGAAUUGGUGGUUGCAAACACUGAUUCAAGCUUUGUGGGUUUAACUCUUCUUGAGAAAGAGAGUCUAUGACCACAAAAUUGACCUAACAAGGAAUUAAGAUGGACUCAUGAGAAAUGAUAGUCCCAAUUAAUGAGUUAAACCUCGAGAGAGUAAUUACCCUACUUGAACCCUAGUUGCUUGGUCUAAUUUGCCUACCCAUUUGGUCCCGAGAGAGUCAAUUAGGCAAAAUCACUUUCUCUACCGAGAGGUGUGAGAAUGAGUAAAAUUGUGCAACGNNNNNNNNNNNNNNNNNNNNNNNNNGAAAACCCAAAAAAUAGUUUGAAGUGACAUUAGGAGUACAAACACAUCUCUAGGCUAGACAGACAAUCCAACUCCACUGUUAGCUCCCUAAGGAAAUCGAUCCCGACCCUCAUAUCGGGUAAAGGCUAUUGCGACCCGCUCUUUCUACCUUAGUGUAGCGUCGAAUUUGCAGCGAUCACUUUUUGGUGCCAUUUCCGGGGAGCUUACGGUGUUGACUAUCUGUUUAUUUUGUUUUGUGUUUUGCCUCUCUUUCCUUCUUAUUUACUAAUUCUGUUUGUGUCGAUUAAUCAGGUAUAAAUGGCUCUUAAUGCAAAUGACCCUCUCGACUAUGUGAUAGCGGGGGAGGAGGUAGAGGAUCUAGAACAAGAUGAGGUCUUACCUCAAGUUCCAUGGAGAGGCCGAA